rnacentral:rRNA from 1 species
AUUGAACGCUGGCGGCAUGCCUUACUCAUGCAAGUCGAACGGUAACAGGUCUUCGGAUGCUGACGAGUGGCGAACGGGUGAGUAAUACAUCGGAACGUGCCUAGUAGUGGGGGAUAACUACUCGAAAGAGUGGCUAAUACCGCAUGAGAUCUACGGAUGAAAGCAGGGGAUCGCAAGACCUUGUGCUACUAGAGCGGCCGAUGGCAGAUUAAGUAGUUGGUGGGAUAAAAGCUUACCAAGCCGACGAUCUGUAGCUGGUCUGAGAGGACGAUCAGCCACACUGGGACUGAGAAACGGCCCAGACUCCUACGGGAGGCAGCAGUGGGGAAUUUUGGACAAUGGGCGCAAGCCUGAUCCAGCAAUGCCGCGUGCAGGAUGAAGGCCUUCGGGUUGUAAACUGCUUUUGUACGGAACGAAAAGCCCCGGGUUAAUACCCUGGGGUCAUGACGGUACCGUAAGAAUAAGCACCGGCUAACUACGUGCCAGCCGCCGCCGUAA